AACGAACGCUGGCGGCAUGCCUAACACAUGCAAGUCGAACGAGACCUUCGGGUCUAGUGGCGCACGGGUGUGUAACGCGUGGGAACCUGCCCUUAGGUUCGGAAUAACUCCCCGAAAGGGGUGCUAAUACCGGAUAAUGUCUUCGGACCAAAGAUUUAUCGCCUUUGGAUGGGCCCGCGUUGGAUUAGCUUGUUGGUAGGGUAAAAGCCUACCAAGGCGACGAUCCAUAGCUGGUCUGAGAGGAUGAUCAGCCACACUGGGACUGAGACACGGCCCAGACUCCUACGGGAAGCAGCAGUGGGGAAUAUUGGACAAUGGGCGAAAGCCUGAUCCAGCAAUGCCGCGUGAGUGAUGAAGGCCUUAGGGUUGUAAAGCUCUUUUACCCGGGAUGAUAAUGACAGUACCGGGAGAAUAAGCUCCGGCUAACUCCGUG
rnacentral:rRNA from 1 species